AAACAAAUCUAACGACAAAAUUAAACAAAUGUGUUGACUGUUGAGCGUUGCCCCGUCGAAGAAGACGCUCCCACAUUUACGCCGAACACACACCCAUCUUCAACGACGAAUGCCGCCAUAGCCGCCGAAAGCCCUUUCCUCCCCCACAACUGCCGACGCAAAAGCCAUCUCCACAGCCCGUCACUGCCUCCGCCCACCACAGCCACCGUCACUAUCUCCGCCCACCACAGCCACCGUCACUGCCUCCAUCACAGGUUUGAUCUUCAUUUAUUUAUUUAUUUUUAAUUUUUAAUUUUUAAUUUUAUUAGGUUUAGGGUUUAGAAACGACUACGGUCUCUGCUUCUCUUUCACCGUAAGCAGCGGGGCCACCGAGUCUCCCGGUCAAGGAGUUGAUGCCAAUCAUUUUCAUCUUCAGAAAUGACUAAGUUGGAAAAACAUCCAACCCUGUGCUUUCGCAGUCGGUUGAGUCUCUCAGGAUCCCGUCAACUUCGCCUUGCUAUUUUGACUGGAAACUGAGGACUUGAUCACCAAGCCAAGAUAUCUUGUUACAUUUACAAUUGGCUAUGAAUGGAAAUAAAAUAUUGAUGCUGCAGUGAAGAAGGGACAGUUUGGUAUUCAAGAUGAGUCAAAGAAGCCAGUGGUUUUGAAAAUUGCAUCGGGAAGAUGGAAAGACUUUAAGAGUAGAUUGUUACGUGAUUAUGUUCACAAGAAGUACAAAAGUUAUACCUCUCCUACACAACUUUAUUCGUUCUUGAGUGAUGAAAAAUGGGCGACAUUAGCAAAUUGGCAAAGUAAAGAGUUUAAGGAAAAAAGUCAAAAGGCGAGGAAAAUGCAGGCGUUAAAUGAGCAUCCACACUUCUUGGAAAGGAUGAUUAUUCAGGUUAUGCAAGAGGAGUUGGAAGUUACUCUACCAUCCAAGGAGUGUUUGGUAGACCAGAUCGGAAACAAAACACAUCGCGUGGGAUUUAUACAGAAGAAGCUGUCAAACAAAUGUUAAAGAAAUGUAGGCAAGAUACAAUGACAGAGGUGGAAGCACAGAUGAAACCCAAGAUUGAUACCAUGGACCAGCAACUUAAGUUUCUGAUGAAGAACAUGGCAGGGACACAUCUAUUUUCACAAGGGGUCUUGGCUGGAACUCCUCAAAGUGAUUCACCGCUUUGUGAUCAAUCGCCUACUUGUAGCAAUUGUCAUUCAGUUGACACAUAUCGAGUUACAACAAUUAAGACUCCCAAAAGGUGUUCACUAAUAGUCUGUCUAUAUGGCAUACCUAUUGUUGUUGCAAAGGGUAUGGCUCACCCAACUACAGACGAGACUUUGGUGAAUCGUCAACCAUUGUUUCAUAACUGUGUCAGAGUUUGGGUGGAUGAAGUGAUUGAAGGUCGAGAGCAAUUUAAUAUCCCUAUGCCAGAUCAGCCGUAUGUCACUAUAGCAGAUGUCGUUGGCAACUUUGUACAAUAGCCUAUGCAUUUAGUGAGUUUAGAUGAGGUAUGCAUUCUUAUAUUUAGUUAUUAAGUUAGUUUUCGUUGUUUAAAAUGUUAGUAAAAUUACAAUUUUAUAUUUGUAGAGUUCACCAAAACAAAAUAAGAAACUAAAAGACCAAAGUGUUGAUAUAUCUGCUAUUGGUACAUGACCUCCCUUUGUUGAUGACGAUGUCUUACAACACUUGGGAGACAAUUGCAAGUAUUUAGUGAAUGCGUUGAAAAGCUUUCUAUCUAAUAAAGAGUAUAUUGAGUUGGGCUUGGAUGAAAAAAUCUUCCAUCAUAGAAACACAAGUUCUAUUUUUGUGAUGAUGAAAGAUAUAAAGGAUUCGAUGCUGAUGAAUUGGCUUGACGUCUCAAUCAUACAAGUGUUUAUAUUAUUUCUUAAUCGAUUGUGCAAUCAGUUCAAAAUUAGGUCAAUCGGGUUUGCUUGUCCGACUCAGAUUUGCAAUAGUAUGCUUAAACGGAACGCCACCAAUGUUAUAUCAUAUUUCAUUCAUGUCAUGGAGCAAAACAGAGAUAAACAAUUUAUUUUAGCACCAUAUCAUCAACAAUCCCAUUGGUUACUUUUGGUGAUUUGCAUGCGCUCAAAAAGCAUAUGUUUCUUGUAUCCCUUGCCUUCUGAUCGCGAUAUUGGUGAAAUUAAAGUUUCUAUUAAUUUGGCAUUUCGCUCUAUUCCUACGAAUGGACGGAUUAAGAAUAUCGAUUGGAAGCCAUGCAAAUUCGUUGUUAUGGCACGUGCGAAUUACUUUGGUGGUGAGUUUGUUUCAUCUAUUAUUUUGGAUUGUGGGGUGUUUGCAAUGCGUCACAUGGAGACGUACGUAGGCCAGUCGAUUGCUUCGUGGGAUUGUGGCCUGCCUAGGGGGGAUGCACGUGUGUUACUCGCCUUGUGCGUGCAGUAUGUUUUUGAAAUUCUUAUGUUUCAGAGCAAUACAUGUCUACAAGCGAUCGUCAGCAGUGUGGGCGGUGGUCGUUGAACAUCACGAUACAUUUCAUAUUUUCUGUAGCCUCACUUCAAACUUUUACAUACACUUCAAUUUUAAAUUUGCACGUUAAAUAUUUUCCUUGGCCGCAUUUCAAACUUUUGCAAAA